AAAAAAUUUUGCUAAUCUGUCUUGUAUUCUCCAUACUGUUGAAUUAAUAAACAUCGUUCCUCUGCGUUUACCCUUUGUGUUCUUUUUUUACAAAUUCAAUCUUGUGUUUUCGUGGUGUGAUCUAGUAUACUUCAAAAUUGUUAUUAAAUCUCGUUCUUUAUAAUCCGAUUUGAAAUCAACGCGUGUUAUUGGAGUUUCCGCGCACAACAAGAGGUAUCAAAGCGAGGUUGUUGAUUUUCUGUGGUUUAGUUGAGAUUCUUUCGAGAUGGCUGGGUUGAAGUAUGAUGUUCCACUGUUAGAUCGCAAUACAAAGUUUUUGUUGUGGCAAGUAAAGAUGAGGGCUAUUUUGGCGCAAUUGAAUUUGGAUGAUGUAUUGCUAAGUAUUGAGAGGAUGCCAGCUUGUUGGACAACGGAGGAGAAAUAACGUAAGGAUCGGAAGGCUGUUUCAUUGAUUCAUCUUCAUCUAUUCAACAAUAUUCUGCAGGAUGUCUUUAAGGAGAAAACGACGGCUACUUUGUGAUUGAAGUUGGAGUAGUUGUGUAUGACUAAGAGUCUUACAAAUAAAUUGGCUUUCAAGUAGAAGCUGUAUUCACAUCGCAUGGUAGAAGGAGAGUCGUUGGAAGACCAUACUGUCGUGUUCAAGGAAAUAUUUGCAGAUCUGGAGACGUUGGAGGUUAAGUACAAUGAAGUUGAUCUUGUCUUGAUCCUAUUGUGUUCGCUGCCUGAAUCUUAUGCGUCGUUUCGGGAUACUAUCUUGUAUAGUCGAAACACUUUGACUAUAGAAAAUGUCUAUGAUGCUUUGCACCCAAAGGAGAAAAUGAAUCAUUUGGUUGGAGCUACAUCAAGGGAUGAGAAAGCUCUUGCAUCUCAAGGUGGUCGACAAAGAGGCAGAUCGAGAGUUAGAUUUAGCAAUGUGACCUGUUACUACUACAAAAGGAAGGGACAUAUUUGGAAGGAUUGCGAUAUGUUGCAAGCUAAAAGUAAUUUGGCUGCAAAUCGUGGGGUACAACCUUUGAAUUCAAACGAAACCAAUGUAGUUGAGAAUUGUUCAGUUAGUGAAGAUGUGAUGUUGACCGUGGUAUCUGAUGUGGAAUCUAGGCCUGACGAGGAGUGAAUCUUGAUUCAGCAUAUUCGCACCAUAUGUGCUCCACUAAGAAUUUAUUUCAGAUAUAUGAGGCUGUUCAACAAGAUGGAAUUGUAAUGGGAAAUAACCAAUCUUGUCGUAUUGCAGGGAUCGGUCCAGUCAGAUUGAGGCCGAGGGAUGGAACGUUUAAAACAAUUGAUCAGGUUCGACAUGUUCAUGACCUGAAAAGGAAUCUCAUUUUGUUAAGUACCCUGAAUGCAAAAGGAUAUAAAUUCUCUGGAGGAGGUAGAGUCUUGAAGGUCCAAAAGGGAGUCCGAGUUGUAUUUGAGGGACGGAAAAGAUCAUAGUUGUGCAUUUUGCAAGGAGUGCAGAACCAGUUAAGAUGAGACAUUUGGACAAAUUUAGUACCGUGAUAGAAGUUCAGUUUGGUGCAGUACCUCUUGGGUUGGGCUCUGAGUUGUUCAGAACACUACUGUGGAAAGCGUUGGUGAUCCCGCUUUGCCACCAAUUUCAGCAAGUACACUUUGUUCGGUUGCUGGAGCAGGACUCAUCAAGCGUAGGUGCUAUGGUGUCAACAAUGUCUGGGAUGCUUCUAUGGACGUUGAAGGCGACAGUUCCAAAAAUGGGCCUUCUAAUCAAGCAUCUGGUUUGGUUCUUGCUACAGGGUAGCUUCGCCUCUGUGUGAUCAACAUUAAUUCCUCGGUAGAAUUGUGAACCCUGGGGAUUGGGUUCGGAUGUCGGUUGUAGACGUCGAGCAAAUGACAAGUGUUUGGUUUAUAUGGAGUGGUUACUGUAUUGAGGAGAUUCAGCCAGUUAAUUUCGAUGCAGAUGAAUUUGAAAUUUAGGAGUUUCGUUCGUGGCACCGGAAUUUGAGUCAAGGUAGAGAUUGUUAAGAAUAUCACUCAAAUAGGAGUCUUUUGAAGAGACAUAUUCGACUUAGACUAGGAGAAUAUUAACCUAUGGUUUAAGGAAACUAGGUUGAAUAAAGAAAUAAAAUCCUGUUGAAAUUGAGCCUCCUAAUUGUCCUAUAUUUUCUUUGCCAUUUAAGACUCUUCUAGAGUUGACCAAUAAAUACGAAGCUCAUUUGGUCAGUUUGGAGAGAGA
rnacentral:lncRNA from 1 species